GGGCUGGGCUGGGCUGGGCUGGGCUGGGCUGGGCUGGGCUGGGCCCGCCCUGU
rnacentral:miRNA from 1 species